rnacentral:rRNA from 1 species
UGGGGAAUAUUGGACAAUGGGCGAAAGCCUGAUCCAGCCAUGCCGCGUGUGUGAAGAAGGUCUUCGGAUUGUAAAGCACUUUUAGUUGGGAGGAAGGGCAGUAAGCGAAUACCUUGCUGUUUUGACGUUACCGACAGAAUAAGCACCGGCUAACUCUGUGCCAGCAGCUGCGGUAAUACAGAGGGUGCAAGCGUUAAUCGGAAUUACUGGGCGUAAAGCGCGCGUAGGUGGUUCGUUAAGUUGAAUGUGAAAGCCCCGGGCUCAACCUGGGAACUGCAUCCAAAACUGGCGAGCUAGAGUAGGGCAGAGGGUGGUGGAAUUUCCUGUGUAGCGGUGAAAUGCGUAGAUAUAGGAAGGAACACCAGUGGCGAAGGCGACCACCUGGGCUCAUACUGACACUGAGGUGCGAAAGCGUGGGGAGCAAACAGG